GAUGAAGAACGUAGCAAAAUGCGAUACUUGGUGUGAAUUGCAGAAUCCCGUGAACCAUCGAGUUUUUGAACGCAAGUUGCGCCCGAAGCCUUUUGGCCGAGGGCACGUCUGCCUGGGCGUCACGCAUCGCGUCGCCCCCCACAAUUCUCCGUAAAGGGAACGUGUGUUUUGGGGGCGGAUAUUGGUCUCCCGUGCUCAUGGCGUGGUUGGCCGAAAUAGGAGUCCUUUCGAUGGACGCACGAACUAGUGGUGGUCGUAAAACCCUCGUCUUUUGUUUCGUGCUGUUGCUCGCAAGGUAAACUCUUUAAAAACCCCAAUGUGUCGUCUCUUGACGACGCUUCGACCGCGACCCCAGGUCAGGCGGGACUACCCGCUGAGUUUAAGCAUAUCAUAAGCGGAGGA
rnacentral:misc_RNA from 1 species